CAGUAGCCGCGGUAAUACAGAGGGUGCGAGCGUUAAUCGGAUUUACUGGGCGUAAAGCGUGCGUAGGCGGCUUCUUAAGUCGGAUGUGAAAUCCCUGAGCUUAACUUAGGAAUUGCAUUCGAUACUGGGAAGCUAGAGUAUGGGAGAGGAUGGUAGAAUUCCAGGUGUAGCGGUGAAAUGCGUAGAGAUCUGGAGGAAUACCGAUGGCGAAGGCAGCCAUCUGGCCUAAUACUGACGCUGAGGUACGAAAGCAUGGGGAGCAAACAGGAUUAGAUACCCCGGUAGUCCCUGUCUCUUAUAA
rnacentral:rRNA from 1 species